GACGAACGCUGGAGGCGUGCCUAAUACAUGCAAGUAGAACGCAGUUGCGAACGGGUGAGUAACGCGUAGGUAACUGCCUGGUAGCGGGGGAUAAAUAUUGGAAACGAUAGCUAAUACCGCAGACUACCAGAUGGACCUGCGUUGUAUUAGCUCGUUGGUGAGGGACAGGCUCACCAAGGCAACGAUACAUAGCCGACCUGCGAGGGUGAUCGGCCACCCUGGGACUCAUACACGGCCCAGACUCCUACGGGAGGCAGCAGUAGGGAAUCUUCGGCAAUGGGGGGCACCCUGACCGAGCAACGCCGCGUGAGUGAAGAAGUUUUUCGGAUCGUAAAUCUCUGUUGUUAAGGAAGCGGUACUUACCCAGAAAGGGACGACUACCUACGUGCCAGCCGCCGCGGUAAUAC
rnacentral:rRNA from 1 species